AAGGGUGGCAAUAGCGAAGGGGAUCACCUCUUACCAUUCCGAACAGAGAAGUUAAGCCCUUCAGCGCCGAUGGUACUGCCUUGUAUGAGGUGGGAGAGUAGGUCGCCGCCUGUU
rnacentral:rRNA from 1 species